rnacentral:rRNA from 1 species
AGAAUCAACGCUGGCGGCGUGCCUAACACAUGCAAGUCGAGCGAGAAAGUGGAGCAAUCCAUGAGUAAAGUGGCGACCGGGUGAGUAACACGUGACUAACCUACCCUAGAGUGGGGAAUAACCUCGGGAAACCGGGGCUAAUACCGCAUAACAUCGCAGAGGGAAGCUCUUUGCGAUCAAAGGAGCAAUUCGCUCAAGGAGGGGGGUCGCGGCUGAUUAGUUAGUUGGUGAGGUAACGGCUCACCAAGACUUAGAUCAGUAUCCGGCCUGAGAGGGCGCACGGACACACUGGAACUGAAACACGGUCCAGACUCCUACGGGAGGCAGCAGUGGGGAAUUUUGCGCAAUGGGGGAAACCCUGACGCAGCAACGCCGCGUGGAGGAUGAAGUCCCUUGGGAUGUAAACUCCUUUCGAUCGGGACGAUUAUGACGGUACCGGAAGAAGAAGCACCGGCUAACUCUGCGCCAGCAGCCGCGGUAA